GACGAACCGAGCGAACGUUAUUCGGAAUCACUGGGCUUAAAGGGCGCGUAGGCGGGCUGCCAAGUCAAGGGUGAAAGCCCCCGGCUCAACCGGGGAAGUGCCUCUGAUACUGGCGGCCUCGAGGGAGGUAGGGGCGUGCGGAACUUCCGGUGGAGCGGUGAAAUGCGUAGAUAUCGGAAGGAACACCGGUGGCGAAAGCGGCGCGCUGGACCUCUUCUGACGCUGAGGCGCGAAAGCCAGGGGAGCGAACGGG
rnacentral:rRNA from 1 species